GCCUGUUCCUCCAGGGCUCGACUCGGUUCCCCCGGCUGCGAGAAGCAGACGUGCUCCCAGCAGCUCCAGGUAAGAUGGUUUUGCUGUCGUGCUUUGCAGAGCUGUAGUAAGGUUUAAAUGUGGCUUCUAGACAUUUACAGCCAACCUGAGCAGAAGAAGCCCAAGGCAGAGGUAACACAGCUGCUUGCAGGCUCACAGGAUAAAAGUGAAGCAAGUGGGGAAAGCAUUUCUCCUCCUCCCUGCAGCGUGCGCUGCCCAGGACAAAUGGUGAGGUGUUCUUGAGUCCUGGGCCUGAGCAGCAGCGUCAGACAAAAAUUUAACCCAGGGUGAAGCAAUUCUUCAGUGCAGGGGUGGGGAGAGGCACUGAGCCAUGAGGGGCAGUGGAGCUGCUUGGCUUGAUUUAGUGUUAUUCCUUUUUUGUUUUUCCAAGUCGUGUGAGCUUGGUUUAUGGCACGAAGUAGUUUGCUGUAGGGUGCUGGAUUGCCUCUGACACUUCUCUAAUACUCUUUUUUUUUUCUUUGAAUGUGCAGGUGUACGACUGCAGUGUUCCUGCCCAGACAGCACCAUGCUUGUGCGUGAGGCUGGAUGCUCAGCAGGAAGCCAGCCCAGUGCUGCCUGUGUCGGCCAUCGCUGCGGACUCGGAGCCAGAUCACCAGCUGUGAUACCUGGAAAGAGAAAAGCUGUUUCUCUCCAAGGUCAGUGGAUUAAUGAUAUCACUGGUCACAAGAAGAGGGGAGAAAAGAGACAGUCCAAGAUUACAGAAAUGGGUUCAGCGUGUGGAAGUCCCAGUGAGAUUCCCCUGAACUACUUCAUAAUCCAGAUCAAAUUAGUAAAGGAACAUAAAAUACAUUAAAAAACCAUGAGAUUAGAGUCUGGAAAUACACAGGGCCAUUGCUUUGCGGUAAUGAAAAACGGGCAACUUUGAUUUUUAUGUUUUUAAUGAUAGGGAUAGUGACAAUGUGCUCUAAGGCCUGGCUGGGUUUGUCAUUUCUUCUGUCAGGAGCAUCCCCGGGGCUGUCGUUGCCUGGGCUUGGCUGCCGAGCGCUGGUGGGCUGAGAGGGAGCAGAGUGCCAAGAGCUUCAAACCAGCUCCUGUUGUUCACUUAUGUCAGUCCCUUCUGUCUUUUCAAAAUAGCAUCCUCCCCUCUGACUCACCGCUCCCCCCGAGGCAGCCGAAUCUCGGGUGCAGGGGCAGCUGGGGGAGGGCAGAGCGGUGUGUCCAGCGCUGCCUUUCUGCCCCCACCACCCUCUGAGGAGCAAGCGAGAGCUCCUCCUGCCCCGGGCUCUGCGUGGGUUCGUUAGAUGGUGCAGAUGGGGGACCACAGUGCAGUGGAGGGGCGGUAACAGUCCCCGGGAUCCACACUUUCUCUUGUGCUUUGGUGCUUAAUUUCUAAACCAAGAUCUACAAGUGGAGGAUUUUUCAGCGCUGACUUUCAGCUGCCCUUGUUGGACCAGCCAGGACGCACAAAGCAGGAGCCGGUUCCCUACGGAUACCCCAGAUUUAGCUCUGAUCCCGAUUGUCUGCUGCGCCAGCGGCGGGUGAGACUAAUAACUCCUGCAGGGAGGGUUCUGGUUACAAAAUGCCUGGAAUGAAGCGAGCAGGUGCUGGGAAGGUUAUCUGAGGAGAGUGCUGUGUUAAUUCCCUGUCGCUUCUCACUCCCCCUUCCCUGCUCAGACGCAGCCUGGAUGGCAUCUUCCACAGGUGAGGCUGUGUCUCGCACAUGAGGGGCUGCUGGGUGCCCUGGUGAGCCACCAUCACUGCACGGGGAGCAGCAGUGGCUCAGCUUUUAGCUCCUGAGGCUCAUGGCUGGCUGGAGCAGGAACCCCUGUGAAGCAGAGACGGGUCUGGGUCAC
rnacentral:lncRNA from 1 species